rnacentral:rRNA from 1 species
GGGAGCGGCGGACGGGUGAGUAACACGUGGGAAUGCUGGCUCAAGGUACGGAACAACUCAGGGAAACUUGGGCUAAUACCGUAUGAUGCAGAGAUGCCAAAGAUUUAUCGCCUUGGGAUAAGCCCGCGUCAGAUUAGGUAGUUGGUGGGGUAAUGGCCUGCCAAGCCUGUGAUCUGUAGCUGGUCUGAGAGGACGAUCAGCCACAUUGGGACUGAGACACGGCCCAAACUCCUACGGGAGGCAGCAGUGGGGAAUCUUGCGCAAUGGACGAAAGUCUGACGCAGCCAUGCCGCGUGAAUGAUGAAGGUCUUAGGAUUGUAAAGUUCUUUAGCCUGUGACGAUGAUGACGGUAACAGGAGAAUAAGCCCCGGCUAACUUCGUGCCAGCAGCCGCGGUAAUACGAAGGGGGCUAGCGUUGUUCGGAAUUACUGGGCGUAAAGCGCGCGUAGGCGGUUUUACAAGCCAGAGGUGAAAUGCCUGAGCUCAACUUAGGAAUUGCCUUUGGAACUGUAUGGCUUGAGGACGAGAGAGGUGAGUGGAAU